rnacentral:lncRNA from 1 species
GAUUUGCAUGGUUGCAGCAACAAUACACCCAGUAAAAUCAGUUUAAAGCAGGCAGGGUUUCUUUGGCUCAUGGUCCCAGGCCUUGUAUAUGAAGCGUCCUCCCCUUCCCCAUGGCUUAAGUCCUAAAACCAGUGCUCCGUGUUGAAGGAUUCCAUGAAUCCCGGUUGGAUUUGGAAGCUUUGAGUGACCCAGACACACAUUCCUCUUCCUUCUGCUCACAGGUACGGCCAGGCUUCCACCAGUGCUCAAGAGACUCAGAAAAGUCCAGCUUGGCAUCAAGCACCGAGAAAAGACGUUAAAACAAACCACGUCCCCUUCCUUCCUGGCCACAAUCUGCCUGAUGGCUGUCAAACCUUCCAGGAUACUCAAUGGCUGGCGCUUGCCUGCUGGGUUGCUGUCUUCCUCCUUCGCUUAUGCUUCCCGCCAGGCUCCUAAGAACUCCUGACACCAUGCCUGCAGCUUGAGCCUGUGCCUCCCUGCUCUGAUAGACUCGUCCCUCUGGAAGUGCCAAAUUCGAGGACUAAAAGUCUGAGGGGUUGAACUGUGUCACCAGCCAGAUCCAGCCACAGAACAGUUGUGGGAAGCUUUGGCUCAAAGCAGCAAUGGGAACAUUGUUUGCAAAGCACAAACUCAGGACUGAGGGAAUGGCUCCGUUGGCAAAGUGCCCGCCUUGCAAGCUUGGAGGACCUGUGUUCAGUCCCCAGCUCCACACAAGAAGCUGUACUGUGGAGAUGAAGGCAGGAGGGCCUCUUGAGACUUGCUGGCCAGCCAGCCUAUCUAUUCAUCCCAGUGGGUGACUCAAAAAAGAGUGGCUCCUGAGUGCUG